rnacentral:rRNA from 1 species
ACUCCUACGGGAGGCAGCAGUGGGGAAUAUUGCACAAUGGGGGAAACCCUGAUGCAGCGACGCCGCGUGGAGGAAGAAGGUCUUCGGAUUGUAAACUCCUGUUGUUGAGGAAGAUAAUGACGGUACUCAACAAGGAAGUGACGGCUAACUACGUGCCAGCAGCCGCGGUAAAACGUAGGUCACAAGCGUUGUCCGGAAUUACUGGGUGUAAAGGGAGCGCAGGCGGGAGAACAAGUUGGAAGUGAAAUCCAUGGGCUCAACCCAUGAACUGCUUUCAAAACUGUUUUUCUUGAGUAGUGCAGAGGUAGGCGGAAUUCCCGGUGUAGCGGUGGAAUGCGUAGAUAUCGGGAGGAACACCAGUGGCGAAGGCGGCCUACUGGGCACCAACUGACGCUGAGGCUCGAAAGUGUGGGUAGCAAACAGGAUUAGAUACCCUGGUAGUCCACACCGUAAACGAUGAUUACUAGGUGUUGGAGGAUUGACCCCUUCAGUGCCGCAGUUAACACAAUAAGUAAUCCACCUGGGGAGUACGACCGCAAGGUUGAAACUCAA